CUCUGGAGUAGCUGGGAUUACAGGGGCAAACCACCGCAACCAGGUACAGAGUUUCUGAUGCUAUUUGUGAUUUUAAUAAUGCAGUUUAGCCAGAUAAUGUCAAAUUCUGUUAGUAAUUUGGCUGAUGUCUUAUUUAACAAAAGAAAACAUCAUUUUGAAAAAUAUCUCUUUGUAGAAAGCUGAAUUACUGUUCUCUAGAAGCAAGGGCAAGGAGUUACACAAUGAAAGAAAAGAGUGAGGGGCAAGAGAAUUGAGAAGAAGACUGGAAUGGUGAGUGUUUUAAGGUGAAUGAAGGAGUGAGUAGCUGACAUGGAGAAAAGGACAGGCUGAACUCAGGCUCUUCUGGAUGGUGAACUGCUGAGGGACAUCAUAAGAAAGUUUGAAGUUCUGCAUAAUUGCUGUAACAACCUGCCCUUCAGCUCUGAUCUCCAACCACACUCACACUGGCUGGGCCACUCCUUUGAAGACAAAGAAAACAGUGCCAGAGGCUGUCCUACUUAAUAAUAAGCCUUUGGCUCUCUCUGCCCUGUAUGCACAUGGUGCCCUCUACUGGCAAAGUGGAGCCACAUCCAGGAAGGGGAUGGAGAAUUGGAUUAUUAAUGGCUUUGGGCAUUCAGCGAAAUCAGAC
rnacentral:lncRNA from 10 species